ensembl:lncRNA
AUUCCAAGGGAACUCCCACUUCCUGAUUGAUUAAAUUAAAACAAAGGGAGGUGAAUUCCAAUCUGUGUGAUUCUACGGGGAGAUAAGCAUGUUGAAAUCUCCACAAAAACCCUCAUACUCCACAUCUUGGCUCUUCCCUACCAGUAAGAAUUGCAGUGAAUUACUUUGUAAUCCAAAGUAAUUGAGGAAUGUGAAAAUAGUUGCCCCCAAAAGCAAAAUAUCUAUUAUUAAAAAGAAUCAUAGAAGUUAGGUUUUAAAAAGCAUGCAUUUAAUUUAGUUCAUGAAUAAAUUCCAGUGUGCAAAAGUACAAACCUUUUGACUAAGAUAUUACACUUCUAGGCAUAUAGCCCAAAGAUAUUUGACAUAGAAAGGUCUUCUCAAAACCACAAUAUCCAUGACAGUAAUUUUGUUGGUAAUAAAGGGAAAACAAAAUUGAUGCUCAUUGACGGAAGCAUGCCUAAGCCUAGUGUAGUACAAGAAUGUUUUUUAGAAUGUUACUCUGCUGAAAAAAUGGUGAUUGUGAAAAAUAUUUUACUGAAAUUUGAAUUGAGAUAAAGUAAAGAGAAGCCAAGAUCAUAAUAACCAAAAUGUCUAUGACACAAUAAUACAAACAAAAAGAGCCUCAGAAUGAAACUUAAAAAAAAACCCAAUAAAACUGUGAAAUUAGAAGAUCUAAGCUUAACUGGAGAUUUGAGACUGAGAUGGAAGUCUUUGGUGAAAUAUUGCACAUGCUGUCAAACUUUCUUAAUAUCUUGGUUGGGUUUCCAGAAUUUCAUUUUUUCUCUUCUAUUUUGUUUAUUCUUUUUUUGGAAGUGGUGUCAAGAUGGCAGCUUAGAAGCAGCAAAAGUUGAUUUCUCUAUGAAAACCCUUCUACACCAAUCAAAAAAUAAAGUGCUUCAAGGGGGACAGGAAAUCAAAUCCAAGAAGACAGAGCUGUGGGACCCUCCUGCUCAAUUCAACAUAAAAGGUUUUUAUCGACUUUCACUAUAG